UUUGACUGGGGCGGUCUCCUCCUAAAGAGUAACGGAGGAGCACGAAGGUUGGCUAAUCCUGGUCGGACAUCAGGAGGUUAGUGCAAUGGCAUAAGCCAGCUUGACUGCGAGCGUGACGGCGCGAGCAGGUGCGAAAGCAGGUCAUAGUGAUCCGGUGGUUCUGAAUGGAAGGGCCAUCGCUCAACGGAUAAAAGGUACUCCGGGGAUAACAGGCUGAUACCGCCCAAGAGUUCAUAUCGACGGCGGUGUUUGGCACCUCGAUGUCGGCUCAUCACAUCCUGGGGCUGAAGUAGGUCCCAAGGGUAUGGCUGUUCGCCAUUUAAAGUGGUACGCGAGCUGGGUUUAGAACGUCGUGAGACAGUUCGGUCCCUAUCUGCCGUGGGCGCUGGAGAACUGAGGGGGGCUGCUCCUAGUACGAGAGGACCGGAGUGGACGCAUCACUGGUGUUCGGGUUGUCAUGCCAAUGGCACUGCCCGGUAGCUAAAUGCGGAAGAGAUAAGUGCUGAAAGCAUCUAAGCACGAAACUUGCCCCGAGAUGAGUUCUCCCUGACUCCCUGAGAGUCCUGAAGGAACGUUGAAGACGACGACGUUGAUAGGCCGGGUGUGUAAGCGCAGCGAUGCGUUGAGCUAACCGGUACUAAUGAACCGUGAGG
rnacentral:rRNA from 1 species